CUGAGUUACCGCUCAUCAACCCUUUGUGAACAUACCUUAACUGUUGCUUCGGCGGGUAGGCGUCCCCUAAAAAGGACGUCUCCCGGCCCUCUCCCGUCCGCGGGUGGGGCGCCCGCCGGAGGAUAACCAAACUCUGAUUUAACGACGUUUUCUUCUGAGUGACACAAGCAAAUAAUCA
rnacentral:misc_RNA from 1 species